rnacentral:rRNA from 1 species
GGGUUGUGAGGUUAAGCGACUAAGCGUACACGGUGGAUGCCCUGGCAGUCAGAGGCGAUGAAGGACGUGCUAAUCUGCGAUAAGCGUCGGUAAGGUGAUAUGAACCGUUAUAACCGGCGAUUUCCGAAUGGGGAAACCCAGUGUGUUUCGACACACUAUCAUUAACUGAAUCCAUAGGUUAAUGAGGCGAACCGGGGGAACUGAAACAUCUAAGUACCCCGAGGAAAAGAAAUCAACCGAGAUUCCCCCAGUAGCGGCGAGCGAACGGGGAGCAGCCCAGAGCCUGAAUCAGUGUGUGUGUUAGUGGAAGCGUCUGGAAAGGCGCGCGAUACAGGGUGACAGCCCCGUACACAAAAAUGCACAUGCUGUGAGCUCGAUGAGUAGGGCGGGACACGUGGUAUCCUGUCUGAAUAUGGGGGGACCAUCCUCCAAGGCUAAAUACUCCUGACUGACCGAUAGUGAACCAGUACCGUGAGGGAAAGGCGAAAAGAACCCCGGCGAGGGGAGUGAAAAAGAACCUGAAACCGUGUACGUACAAGCAGUGGGAGCACGCUUAGGCGUGUGACUGCGUACCUUUUGUAUAAUGGGUCAGCGACUUAUAUUCUGUAGCAAGGUUAACCGAAUAGGGGAGCCGAAGGGAAACCGAGUCUUAACUGGGCGUUAAGUUGCAGGGUAUAGACCCGAAACCCGGUGAUCUAGCCAUGGGCAGGUUGAAGGUUGGGU